GAGUGACAUGUGUGACAUAUUAUUUAUUGACGGAUAUUAUUGAAUUAACAACAAGCAUUCUCGUUAUAUACGCUCUGUGCAAGUUCUUAUUUUGCAGAAAAAUUCAGAAAAAUGAACAAGACCUCAGUUAGGCACAAAACCAGCUGAGAUGACGAAGCGACAGUAAGGCCAACGAGCCUGAAUCUUGUGCAAAAACCUCAAGAAGGCACAAAAAACUGCCGGCGGGGCCCCGAGGUCACCCCGGAACGGCCGGUGAGGAUCUUAAAGAUGCCUCCCGGAGCAUGAAGACCG
rnacentral:lncRNA from 1 species